UGGGGAAUCUUGGACAAUGGGGGCAACCCUGAUCCAGCCAUGCCGCGUGAGUGAUGAAGGCCUUAGGGUCGUAAAGCUCUUUCGCCUGUGAAGAUAAUGACGGUAGCAGGUAAAGAAACCCCGGCUAACUCCGUGCCAGCAGCCGCGGUAAUACGGAGGGGGUUAGCGUUGUUCGGAAUUACUGGGCGUAAAGCGCACGUAGGCGGACCAGAAAGUUGGGGGUGAAAUCCCGGGGGCUCAACCCCGGAACUGCCUCCAAAACUAUUGGUCUAGAGUUCGAGAGAGGUGAGUGGAAUUCCAAGUGUAGAGGUGAAAUUCGUAGAUAUUUGGAGGAACACCAGUGGCGAAGGCGGCUCACUGGCUCGAUACUGACGCUGAGGUGCGAAAAGUGUGGGGAGCAAAACAGGAUUAGAUACCCUGGUAGUCCACACCGUAAAACGAUGAAUGCCAGUCGUCGGGUAGCAUGCUAUUCGGUGACACACCUAACGGAUUAAGCAUUCCGCCUGGGGAGUACGGUCGCAAGAUUAAAACUC
rnacentral:rRNA from 1 species